rnacentral:rRNA from 1 species
AUUGAACGCUGGCGGCAUGCUUUACACAUGCAAGUCGAACGGUAACAGCACUUCGGUGGCUGACGAGUGGCGAACGGGUGAGUAAUACAUCGGAACGUGCCUAGUAGUGGGGGAUAACUACUCGAAAGAGUAGCUAAUACCGCAUGAGAUCUAAGGAUGACAGCAGGGGACCUUCGGGCCUUGCGCUACUAGAGCGGCUGAUGGCAGAUGAGGUAGUUGGUGGGAUAAAAGCUUACCAAGCCGACGAUCUGUAGCUGGUCUGAGAGGACGACCAGCCACACUGGGACUGAGACACGGCCCAGACUCCUACGGGAGGCAGCAGUGGGGAAUUUUGGACAAUGGGCGCAAGCCUGAUCCAGCAAUGCCGCGUGCAGGAUGAAGGCCUUCGGGUUGUAAACUGCGUUUGUACGGAACGAAAAGCCCUCUUCUAAUACAGGAGGGUCAUGACGGUACCGGAAGAAUAAGCACCGGCUAACUACGUG